GGAGUUCUUUAUCUUCUUUAGUUCUGUUCCAAUGUUCCUUUCUUCAAUUUCAUCGCCCCUCUUCUGCUCUUUCAUGGCUCUCUCACGAUAGAAGCAAUGAGUCUCUCAUGACAGGAGUACUCAGUUCGCUUAAGACAUUAGCCGCCUCCGAGGAUGAUGCAUUAGCGGAGUUGGUAAUAAUUGAGCUGGCAACAAGAUGAUGUCUGUUUGAUUCAGCUUUGUUUUCUCCUACUCGCGCUAAGAGAACCCUUUUAUUAGCUUGCAUCUUUCUAUAUAGGCAGAAUACAUAGUUUACCCCCAGAACUAUGGACCAAAUCCCUGUGACACACCUUUUGGGAACAAAAAUUACCUUACACACUCAACAUUUCCAAAGUGUAUCUAAUACACACUACUUUUACACUCGUGA